rnacentral:tRNA from 1 species
GCCUCGGUAGCGCAGCUGGUUAGCGCGUCAGUCUCAUAAUCUGAAGGCCGUGAGUUCGAACCUCACCCGGGGCA